rnacentral:rRNA from 1 species
AUUGAACGCUGGCGGCAGGCUUAACACAUGCAAGUCGAGCGGAGUGAUGGUGCUUGCACUAUCACUUAGCGGCGGACGGGUGAGUAAUGCUUAGGAAUCUGCCUAUUAGUGGGGGACAACAUUUCGAAAGGAAUGCUAAUACCGCAUACGUCCUACGGGAGAAAGCAGGGGAUCUUCGGACCUUGCGCUAAUAGAUGAGCCUAAGUCGGAUUAGCUAGUUGGUGGGGUAAAGGCCUACCAAGGCGACGAUCUGUAGCGGGUCUGAGAGGAUGAUCCGCCACACUGGGACUGAGACACGGCCCAGACUCCUACGGGAGGCAGCAGUGGGGAAUAUUGGACAAUGGGCGCAAGCCUGAUCCAGCCAUGCCGCGUGUGUGAAGAAGGCCUUAUGGUUGUAAAGCACUUUAAGCGAGGAGGAGGCUACUGAAGUUAAUACCUUCAGAUAGUGG